CGGAGGGUGCAAGCGUUAUCCGGAUUCACUGGGUUUAAAGGGUGCGUAGGUGGGUUGGUAAGUCCGUGGUGAGAUCCCCGAGCUUAACUUGGGAACUGCCAUGGAUACUAUUAAUCUUGAAUGUCGUGGAGAUGAGCGGAAUAUGUCAUGUAGCGGUGAAAUGCUUAGAUAUGACAUAGAACACCAAUUGCGAAGGCAGCUCGUUACGCGAAUAUUGACACUGAUGCACGAAAGCGUGGGGAUCAAACAGGAUUAGAUACCCUGGUAGUCCACGCCCUAAACGAUGGAUACUCGACAUACGCGAUACACUGUGUGUGUCUGAGCGAAAGCAUUAAGUAUCCCACCUGGGAAGUACGAUCGCAAGAUUG
rnacentral:rRNA from 1 species